rnacentral:rRNA from 1 species
AUUGAACGCUGGCGGCAGGCCUAACACAUGCAAGUUGAGCGAGCGGCGGACGGGUGAGUCAUGUCUGGGAAACUGCCUGAUGGAGGGGGAUAAUUACUGGAAACGCUAGCUAAUACCUCAUACCAUCAGAUGUGCCCAGAUGGGAUUGGCCAUUAGGUGGGGUAACGCCUCACCUCGGCGUCUAUGCCUAGCUGAUCUGAGAGGUUCACCAGCCACGCUGGAACUGGGACACGGUCCAGACUCCUACGCGAGGCAGCAGUGGGGAGUGUUGCACGAUGGGGGCAAGCCUGAAUCAGCCAUGCGGCGUGAGUGAAGAAGGCCUUCGGGUUGGAAAGCACUUUCAGCGGGGAGGCGUUACCCGCAGAAGAAGCACCGGCUAACACCGUGCCAGCCGCCGCGGUAAUUC